AUGAGAGGUGAAAAAGUUGGAAAGCAAAAUACUAAGGAAAAGAAACCUGAAGUCAAGAAGGUUGAUACUGGUGGCAAGGUAAAAAAGGGUAACCCCACGGCUAAAAAGAAUGGGAAGUCCCACUGCAGCCAAAAUCCUAUCCUUGUGAGAGGUUUGGAAGAUAUUCCCAAUCUGCUAUGUAUUCCCGAAAGGUCACGUACAAGAGGAAGUACUCAGUUGCUAAAUCCAAAGUUGAAAGAAAAAAAAAGAGAGAGAGAGAAGGUUCUUGUAAUUAUUACCAAAUCAGUUGGUGGUGAUAAGAAUGGUGGUACUCUAGUGGUUAAACUUGGCAAAAUGCCUAGAUGUUAUCCUACUGAAGAUGUGCCUUGAAAGCUGUUAAAUCAUGGUAAAAAGCAGUUCAGUCAGGAUGUGAGAGAAAACUGCAAGCUAGCAUCACUCCUGGGACCAUCCUGAUCAUCCUCACUGGAUGCCACAGAGGCAAGAGGGUGGUUUUCCUGAAGCAACUGGGCAAUGGCUUGUUUACUUGUGACUGGACCUCUGCUCCUCAAUCGAGUUCCUCUGCAAAGAACACACCAGAAAUUUGUCACUGCCACCUCCACAAUAACUGGUAUCAGCAAUGUGAAAAUCCCAAAACAACUUGCUGAUGCUUACUUCAAGAAGAAACAGUUACAGAAGCCUAGGUACCAGGAGGAUGAGAUCUUCAACACAGAAAAAGAAAAAUAUGAGAUUACAGAGCAGCACAAGAUUGAUCAGAAAGCUGUGGACUUGCAAAUUUUACCAAAAAUCAAAGCUAUUCCUCAGCUCCAGGGCUACUUGCAAUCUGUGUUUGCCCUGAUGAAUGGCAUUUAUCCUCACAAACAAGUGUUCUAAAUUUCUUUUAAAAAGAACCUAAUUAAAUAACUGA